GCCGGGGCAGCGCGGUGGGAGCCGCGCGGCGCCCCGGCCCUCUCCCAGCCCUGCCGCAACAUUUAUUGCAAAAGCAGGAAAUCGCUGAUUACUAAACUAGCUGGCAAGGGAGCGGGAGCCGAUGCUGUUCCCCCCUGGCACGGCACUUGCCUAGCCGCUGCCUCCCCUGCCUCUCCUUGUUCCGCUCUUUCUUCUUCUUCUUCUUCCCCCUCUUCCUCUCCGCUCUCUCUCGCUCUCUCCUCUCCUUUUUUUUCAUUUUGGCUUCUAUUCAAAUGUGGGUCAGGGGUGAGCGGCUCCCAACGUCACAAGCUUGCAAGAUGGCGCUGGGAGGAAGGCUGUGAGAUGAGGAACAGGCUGGUAUAAACCGAGAGGACAGGAGAGGGAGAGGAGGAGGAGGAGGAGAGGGGAAGGGGAAGAAAAGCCGCUGCUCCAGAUGCAAUAAGAAGGUUCACAUGAAAUGGCACCUGGGCUACACACCAGCUGUGCAGUUUCAGAGACUUAUCAGUAGCUCUCUAAUAGCCAGACCAUCUAAUACCAUAUGCCAAAGGCUUGGGAUGUUCCCCACCCAUGAACUGGUUGGACAAGAAAGAAGGAAGAGGAGUCCAGGUCACAGUUCAGAGGCUCCGGAGAAAGCAGGCAUGACACUAUGAGUCUCGCUGGAUGUGUGUCGCGUGCUCGUUGCCCAGGUGCCCUCCGCGUAAAAGGGUUUGACAAAGUGGAGUCCCAGAUGGACUCGGAUGCUUCUGUGUCAGAGACGGCUCUGUGUGAGAUGUCGGUGCGGGACCCUGAAAGUGGACUUGGAGAUGGGAAUUGGACCUUUUUCUUUGUCAUGAAAGAGAAAGGCCUGAAAUAUUUCGAUCAUUGGAGAACUAAUGAAAUUACCAUUGCAAAAGACAAGAAUAUGAUAUUCUUAGCAAUUAACAAGGGAAAGCAUUUUAGUCAGACUGAAACUAUCUUCUCAUUUGUAUGGGGAUUUUAUUGUUAGCAGAUGUUUAAUUUCCGUAAGCAAUUAAUAUUUUGGAAAGCUUAAAAAUU
rnacentral:lncRNA from 1 species